CUUAACACAUGCAAGUCGAGCGGAAAUAAGAAGAGCUUGCACAUCUUGAUUUUAGCGGCGGACGGGUGAGUAACGUGUGGGUAACCUGCCUUAUACUGUGGAAUAAUCAGUGAGAAAUGCGUGACUAAUACCGCAUGUCAUCCUUUUAUCGCAUGAUGAGAGGAGAAAAGGAUUUAUUCGGCGAGUAAGAUGGACCCGCAUCUGAUUAGCUAGUUGGUGAGAUAAUAG
rnacentral:rRNA from 1 species